rnacentral:rRNA from 1 species
ACGAACGCUGGCGGCGUGCCUAAUACAUGCAAGUUGAGCGCUGAAGGUUGGUACUUGUACCAACUGGAUGAGCAGCGAACGGGUGAGUAACGCGUGGGGAAUCUGCCUUUGAGCGGGGGACAACAUUUGGAAACGAAUGCUAAUACCGCAUAAAAACUUUAAACACAAGUUUUCAGUUUGAAAGAUGCAAUUGCAUCACUCAAAGAUGAUCCCGCGUUGUAUUAGCUAGUUGGUGAGGUAAAGGCUCACCAAGGCGAUGAUACAUAGCCGACCUGAGAGGGUGAUCGGCCACAUUGGGACUGAGACACGGCCCAAACUCCUACGGGAGGCAGCAGUAGGGAAUCUUCGGCAAUGGACGAAAGUCUGACCGAGCAACGCCGCGGGAGUGAAGAAGGUUUUCGGAUCGGAAAACUCUGUUGGUAGAGAAGAACGUUGGUGAGAGUGGAAAGCUCAUCAAGUGACGGUAACUACCCAGAAAGGGACGGCUAACUACGUG